AAAAUGUCUUUUGACAGUUUGUUUACGUUUGUGACAUAAAACUGACAUUUGAAGUAAGAGUAUUUUUCAGGGAGGUUGCGUAAUUUUGAAAACGGGUGUAACGAUAACUUCAAUCAACAAAAGUACUCAAAAUAGAACAAUUUUGGUAUGUUGCUAAUGCUACGUCUUAUUACCAUCUAGUCAUGUCACGGAAAAAAGCUCGAACUGUAUAGCUUAUGAAAUCCAUGUUACAUUAUACAUAAUUGCAUCCACUAAUACUGUUGCAUUAAUAUUUACAGAUAUCAGACGUAUACAAUAAUAUGCCUUCCAUUUGCUUGCGCCUCACAAUAUUGGUGGAUAAAUUAUGUUGAAUAACAUCAUCUUAUGUCAAUGAAUAUUCGAAAAUGAAACAAUUGAUCUUAUGUCAAUGAAUAUUCGAAAAUGAAACAAUUCAAUUCAGCUACCAAUUGCUUGACCAUUAACUGACACGACCACUUCAACGAAAUCGCACGUACAAAGAAAAGUUAACACGUCUACAGUUGUAUCAUCGUUAUGUCAUCGUUAUGUAUUCUGAAAAUUCUACGUGGAAGACAUGAAAAGUAAGAAGUAAGAAAGAUGCACAGUACUUGAAGAUACGACUUGGAUAUUUGUUGUACGUUACAUUGCACCUGGCUCUGACAGCUACUCAACGAAGUCGCACGUACCAGUACGAAGAAAAGGUAACGCGGCAAGGAAGACUUGAUAGUUAAGAAAGAUGCACAGUACUUAAAGCAGUACUUUGCUGUACGGUACAUUGCACCUGUUCGAAUACUCGUAAUCAAGCUAACAACGUGCGUGAGUACAGUACCUGUUAUACGAACAAUGGACUUGAUAUGCAUCAUAAUCAACAUCUUCAAACUUACACUGGGUAGAACAUGUACUAUAAUACGCAAUAAGACGUGUUCUAUUGUCAUAGAAAAGUGACUGGUAUUUUAGUUUUCACUAGCUGAAUGUUCGUUAUUUAUAAUUCACGUUGUCAUUGGCCAUUUUUGGCAAGGUUUGGAAAUUGUGGAAUGGAUUGUAACUAAAAAACUGACUUGUGGACUUAUUUUAUAUAUUGAAAAAUUGACUGUAACCCAUACUCUAAUUUUAAUUUUGUAUACAUACAGUAGCCAUCGUCCAAAAUAAAUCUUAUUUAGUAUUCUACUAUAUUUGUUGAUUGUCAUUUAGAUUAGUUAUAAGCGCGCGCAUCAAGAUUUUAUUGGCAUGCAACAUGUACGCACUGCGUACCUAUUUUUCAUAAUUAUGAGGACAGAGCAGAUGAUGAUGAGAGAUGCAAGUAUAAAACACCAUUCACAAGGCUAGAUGUUAACAUAGCACAGUAUUUCUGGCAAUAAAACGCUCCAACUGACCAACUGAACAUUUCACACGAACUUUUAUCGCUGGAUAAUUUUGCGAGUUUUCAUCCAAUUCAAUCAUAUAUAUGCUC